rnacentral:rRNA from 1 species
UACAGAGGUGGCAAGCGUUGUUCGGAAUUACUGGGCGUAAAGGGCGCGUAGGCGGCCAUCUAAGUCAGACGUGAAAUCCCCCGGCUUAACCUGGGAACUGCGUCUGAUACUGGAAGGCUUGAGUAUGGGAGAGGGAUGUAGAAUUCCAGGUGUAGCGGUGAAAUGCGUAGAUAUCUGGAGGAAUACCGGUGGCGAAGGCGGCAUCCUGGUCCAUUACUGACGCUGAGGUGCGAAAGCGUGGGGAGCAAACAGG